rnacentral:tRNA from 1 species
CGGGGUGUAGCUCAGCUGGUAGAGUACACGUCUGGGGGGCGUGGGGUCGCUGGUUCAAGUCCAGUCACUCCGACAA